rnacentral:rRNA from 1 species
CCCUUAGAUGUCCGGGGCCGCACGCGCGCUACACUGAAGGAAUCAGCGUGGCUUUCUCCCUGACCCGAAAGGGUUGGGAAACCCGUUGAAUCUCCUUCGUGAUAGGGAUUGGGGCUUGAAAUUGUUCCCCAUGAACGAGGAAUUCCCAGUAAGCGCGAGUCAUAAGCUCGCGUUGAUUACGUCCCUGCCCUUUGGACACACCGCCCGUCGCUACUACCGAUUGAACGGUUUAGUGAGGGCCUCGGAUUGGUCUCGGCCCGCUCUUUACCGGGCGGCGCCGUUGGUCGAGAAGACGCUCGAACUUGAUCGUUUAGAGGAAGUAAAAGUCGUAACA